rnacentral:rRNA from 1 species
GGGGGAGUAACAACUUGGAAACAGGUGCUAAUACCGCAUAACAGUUUAUGCCGCAUGGCAUAAGAGUGAAAGGCGCUUUCGGGUGUCGCUGAUGGAUGGACCCGCGGUGCAUUAGCUAGUUGGUGAGGUAACGGCUCACCAAGGCCACGAUGCAUAGCCGACCUGAGAGGGUGAUCGGCCACACUGGGACUGAGACACGGCCCAGACUCCUACGGGAGGCAGCAUG